rnacentral:rRNA from 1 species
AGAGUUUGAUCCUGGCUCAGAGUGAACGCUGGCGGCAGGCCUAACACAUGCAAGUCGAGCGGCAGCGCGGGGGCAACCCUGGCGGCGAGCGGCGGACGGGUGAGGAAUGCGUCGGAAUCUGCCUCUUUGUGGGGGAUAACGUAGGGAAACUUACGCUAAUACCGCAUACGACCUACGGGUGAAAGUGGGGGACCGCAAGGCCUCACGCAGAGAGAUGAGCCGACGCCGGAUUAGCUAGUUGGCGGGGUAAAGGCCCACCAAGGCGACGAUCCGUAGCUGGUCUGAGAGGAUGAUCAGCCACACUGGAACUGAGACACGGUCCAGACUCCUACGGGAGGCAGCAGUGGGGAAUAUUGGACAAUGGGCGCAAGCCUGAUCCAGCCAUGCCGCGUGUGUGAAGAAGGCCUUCGGGUUGUAAAGCACUUUUGUCCGGAAAGAAAUCCUUUCGAUUAAUACUCGGAAGGGAUGACGGUACCGGAAGAAUAAGCACCGGCUAACUUCGUGCCAGCAGCCGCGGUAAUUC